rnacentral:rRNA from 1 species
AGUGAACGCUGGCGGUAGGCCUAACACAUGCAAGUCGAACGGCAGCACAGUAAGAGCUUGCUCUUACGGGUGGCGAGUGGCGGACGGGUGAGGAAUACAUCGGAAUCUACUUUUUCGUGGGGGAUAACGUAGGGAAACUUACGCUAAUACCGCAUACCACCUACGGGUGAAAGCAGGGGAUCUUCGGACCUUGCGCGAUUGAAUGAGCCGAUGUCGGAUUAGCUAGUUGGCGGGGUAAAGGCCCACCAAGGCGACGAUCCGUAGCUGGUGUGAGAGGAUGAUCAGCCACACUGGAACUGAGACACUGUCCAGACUCCGACGGGAGGCAGCAGUGGGGAAUAUUGGACAAUGGGCGCAAUCCUGAUCCAGCCAUGCCGCGUGGGUGAAGAAGGCCUUCGGGUUGUAUAGCCCUUUUGUUGGGAAAGAAAAGCAGCAGGUUAAUACCCCGCUGUUCUGACGGUACCCAAAGAAUAAGCACCGGCUAACUUCGUG